rnacentral:rRNA from 1 species
AUUGAACGCUGGCGGCAUGCUUUACACAUGCAAGUCGAACGGCAGCGCGGGCUUCGGCCUGGCGGCGAGUGGCGAACGGGUGAGUAAUGCAUCGGAACGUGCCCAGUAGUGGGGGAUAGCCCGGCGAAAGCCGGAUUAAUACCGCAUACGACCUGAGGGUGAAAGCGGGGGACCGAAAGGCCUCGCGCCAUUGGAGCGGCCGAUGUCGGAUUAGCUAGUUGGUGGGGUAAAGGCUUACCAAGGCGACGAUCCGUAGCUGGUCUGAGAGGACGAACAGCCAAACUGGGACUGAGACACGGCCCCGACUCCUACGGGAGGCAGCAGUGGGGAAUUUUGGACAAUGGGGGGAAACCUGAUCCAGCCAUGCCGCGUGAGGGAAGAAGGCCUUCGGGUUGUAAAACGCUUUUGUUCGGGAAGAAAUCCUAUGGGCUAAUACCCCGGGGGGAUGACGGUAACGGAAGAAUAAGCAACGGCUAACUACGUG